rnacentral:rRNA from 1 species
CUUGUUAUUGGAAUGAGAACAAUUUAAAUAACUUAACGAGGAUCAAUUAGAGGGCAAGUCUGGUGCCAGCAGCCGCGGUAAUUCCAGCUCUAAUAGCGUAUAUUAAAGUUGUUGCAGUUAAAAAGCUCGUAGUCGGAUGUCGGGCUCGGGCAAGCUGUCGGCCUUUGGUCGGACGGCAGGCUCGGGUCUUUCUGCCUGAGGGACCCGGUUGCUUUAACGAGCUGCCGGUGGACGCAGGUCGUUUACUUUGAAAAAAUUAGAGUGUUCAAAGCAGGCUAGCGCUUGAAUACAUUAGCAUGGAAUAAUGGAAUAGGACUUUGGUGCUAUUUUGUUGGUUUAUGGGACCGAAGUAAUGAUUAACAGGGACUGUUGGGGCCGUUUAUAUUUCGUUGUCAGAGGUGAAAUUCUUGGAUUUACGAAAGAUAAACUUCUGCGAAAGCAUUCGGCAAGGAUGUUUUCAUUGAUCAAGAACGAAAGUUAGGGGAUCGAAGACGAUCAGAUACCGUCGUAGUCUUAACCAUAAACUAUGCCGACUAGGGAUCAGUGGAUG